rnacentral:rRNA from 1 species
CCUACGGGCGGCAGCAGUGGGGAAUAUUGGACAAUGGGGGGAACCCUGAUCCAGCCAUGCCGCGUGUGUGAAGAAGGCCCUCGGGUUGUAAAGCACUUUCAGUGAGGAAGAACGCCUGGUGGUUAAUACCCAUCAGGAAAGACAUCACUCACAGAAGAAGCACCGGCUAACUCCGUGCCAGCAGCCGCGGUAAUACGGAGGGUGCGAGCGUUAAUCGGAAUUACUGGGCGUAAAGCGCGCGUAGGUGGCUUGAUAAGCCGGUUGUGAAAGCCCCGGGCUCAACCUGGGAACGGCAUCCGGAACUGUCAAGCUAGAGUGCAUGAGAGGAAGGUAGAAUUCCCGGUGUAGCGGUGAAAUGCGUAGAGAUCGGGAGGAAUACCAGUGGCGAAGGCGGCCUUCUGGACUGACACUGACACUGAGGUGCGAAAGCGUGGGUAGCAAACAGGAUUAGAUACCCUUGUAGUC